AUGAUGUCACUGAGAACUGCCGUAGACUACCUGCUGUACAGAUUUCCUUACAUUGACCAGAUUUGAGGGUGACACUUUCAGAAGAGUCUCCUGUUUAAGAGUGGAAACCUUUACAUACUAAAUCUCUCUAAAGGACCUUUUAUACUUGACAAAAAGAAUGAAGGUCAUGAUGCCUAAUGAUGAUGUCACUGAAAACUCUCAUGGACUACCUGAUGAACAACUUUCCUUACAUUGACAAGAUUCAAGUUUGCACUUUAAAGGCUCCACCAAGGGACGACUGACACUGAAGCAGAGCGCACGGUCAAAUAUCAGAUGGAGCUCAGUGAGUCUCACUGAAGAACUGAAGGAAGGACUGAGAGAGGUUCUUCUUGAAAUUGUUUGAAGAAGUGAAAACUGGUAUGUGUUUAUUUGUUCACAUUCAUAAAGCAUGGCCAUUGCUCUAGUGAUGGACAGAUGGCACAACUUUUAAGAGGCAAACUGACUUUCUUCCCAAAGAAAUAAAUCUUCAACUUCAUGGAGGCAGUUUCAUUCUUAGAUGGAUUCUGGGUUGUAGACUCUCAGGCAUUUUAUGAUCCAUCUCUCACAAUAGGGGCUGCAAAUGACAUGACUCUUCAUCAGGAAUAAAGGAAAGAAGACAGGUAAAGUAAUAGAGAACUCCCUGAUGUAUUUAUCGCCUCUGAGUCUGAGAUGACUGUUGUCAUUAACUUGUAUAUAUAAACUUUAACUUUGAAACAAAGUACACUCCCAUGAGUUUCAGCCUUUGUACUUUUCAUUGUGUAAAUAUUUGCAAUAAA